CCUACGGGUGGCAGCAGUGGGGAAUAUUGGGCAAUGGAGGCAACUCUGACCCAGCAACGCCGCGUGAGUGAUGAAGGUCUUCGGAUUGUAAAACUCUUUAAGUGGGGACGAAGAAAGUGACUGUACCCACAGAAUAAGCCUCGGCUAACUACGUGCCAGCAGCCGCGGUAAUACGUAGGAGGCAAGCGUUAUCCGGAAUGACUGGGCGUAAAGGGUGCGUAGGUGGUUCGGCAAGUUAGUAGCGUAAUUCCGGGGCUCAACCUCGGAACUACUACUAAAACUGUUGAUCUUGAGUACUGGAGAGGCAGACGGAAUUCCUAGUGUAGCGGUGAAAUGCGUAGAUAUUAGGAGGAACACCAGUGGCGAAGGCGGUCUGCUGGACAGCAACUGACGGUGAGGCGCGAAAGCGUGGGGAGCAAACAGGAUUAGAUACCCGGGUAGUC
rnacentral:rRNA from 1 species